rnacentral:misc_RNA from 1 species
GGGGGUUUGCGGGCCUUUAUUAAGAGGUCGGCUCUCCUGAAAUACAUUAGCGGAACCGUUUGCAGUCCCGUCACUAGUGUGAUAAUUAUCUACACUGUGAUGAUUGCUCUCUGACUAGUUCAGCUGCUAAUAGUCCCUUGUUGGACAACAUUAAUGAACUUCUUGACCUCAAAUCAGGUAGGACUACCCGCUGAACUUAA